ACAGGUGGUGCAUGGUUGUCGUCAGCUCGUGUCGUGAGAUGUUGGGUUAAGUCCCGCAACGAGCGCAACCCUCGUUCUAUGUUGCCAGCACGUAAUGGUGGGAACUCAUGGGAUACUGCCGGGGUCAACUCGGAGGAAGGUGGGGAUGACGUCAAAUCAUCAUGCCCCUUAUGUCUUGGGCUUCACGCAUGCUACAAUGGCCGGUACAAAGGGCUGCAAUACCGUGAGGUGGAGCGAAUCCCAAAAAGCCGGUCCCAGUUCGGAUUGAGGUCUGCAACUCGACCUCAUGAAGUCGGAGUCGCUAGUAAUCGCAGAUCAG
rnacentral:rRNA from 1 species